rnacentral:rRNA from 1 species
UAACCCAAGGUUGACCUCGGAUCAGGUAGGAAGACCCGCUGAACUUAAGCAUAUCAAUAAGCGGAGGAAAAGAAACCAACAGGGAUUGCCCUAGUAACGGCGAGUGAAGCGGCAACAGCUCAAAUUUGAAAUCUGGCUUCGGCCCGAGUUGUAAUUUGCAGAGGAAGCUUUAGGCGCGGCACCUUCUGAGUCCCCUGGAACGGGGCGCCAUAGAGGGUGAGAGCCCCGUAUAGUUGGAUGCCUAGCCUGUGUAAAGCUCCUUCGACGAGUCGAGUAGUUUGGGAAUGCUGCUCAAAAUGGGAGGUAAAUUUCUUCUAAAGCUAAAUACCGGCCAGAGACCGAUAGCGCACAAGUAGAGUGAUCGAAAGAUGAAAAGCACUUUGAAAAGAGGGUUAAAUAGCACGUGAAAUUGUUGAAAGGGAAGCGCUUGUGACCAGACUUGCGCCGGGCGGAUCAUCCGGUGUUCUCACCGGUGCACUCCGCCCGGCUCAGGCCAGCAUCGGUUCUCGCGGGGGGAUAAAGGCAUCGGGAACGUGGCUCCUCCGGGAGUGUUAUAGCCCGUUGCGUAAUGCCCUCGCGGGGACCGAGGUUCGCGCAUCUGCAAGGAUGCUGGCGUAAUGGUCAUCAGCGAC